ACACAUAUUCGCACUGCAAUUUUGCUCGGCCUGCCUCUAUUUUUCAGUUGACCUCUCUCUCUCUCUCUCUCGCUGUGCAUCUCUUCCCACCGAGACCCUCUCAUCCUCUCAGCAACGUCGUCGCCGUCGUCUCUCCCCAAACCCCCAACCUAGCUUCUGUCCCUAGACGCCUCCGACCCCCUUCACGAUAAAGGUUCUCUCUCUCUCUCUCUCUCUCUUAGGCACGGCUGCACGGGCCCUCUAUUCUCAGUCACCGGUGACAUUGUUGAUUUGCUACCUCGCUGUCGAAGGCUCGAACUCUUCACUCUUGGUUUGCUCUCUUCGACUCUUCCUCAAGUUGUGAUUCUGUGAAGCUCGGUGACUCAAGCUUGGAGAAAUUUGUGUUCGAUUUCUGGGUUCAAGUUCGGUGAUUCUUCAAGCUCAAUUUCUGGGUUCGAAUUUCUGGAAUCUCUUGUUAAGUUGCUAGGUUCGAUUAAGUUUCUCAUUCUUAAGUUUUUGAUUUUGGGCUGUGGUGUUUCUGGGUUUGAUUAAGUUGCUGGGUUUCAGCUGUUUUGGACGACUUUGCUUACUGUAUCUGUUUUGAAAUAUCAAUAUUUGGCCUCUGUAUCUAUUUUGGAUGGGAAUUGAAUCAAUUGAUUAAUUAAUAAUUGAAUUGCAUUUGUUUUGGCCUCUGUGAAUAAGAAUUAAAUCGAUUGAUUGAUUGAAUGUUGAAUACUGUUUUUGUUUAUAUAAUUACAUGAUUUCUUCUGGUCAGCCAGUCAAUGAGUACAUUGACGCAGCUGUGAGACAUGUUCUCCUUAGGCAGGGUGUUCAUUAAGGUCAAGAUCAUGCUUGACUGGGAUCCCAAUGGCAAGCAAGGACCCAUGACUCCUCUACCUGAUCUUGUUACAAUCCACCAACCAAAGGAUGAUGAAUUGAUGAGUUUGUCAGGCGGGCACCAGAAAUUGAAGCAGCACCUAUUUUGGUCCCAACUGAUGUUGUUCUUUUCAUGUUUCCAGGAGGAUGCUGUGAAACAACUACAAAGUCUGCAGAAAGAAAUUCAGGAUUCAAUGAAUGAGCUUGAGGAGAUGAGACCUCUGUAUGAGAAUCAAGUCAUGAGGGAAAAGGAGAUGACAAAGGGUUAUGUGUUAUCUACACAUGCUCUAUCAAGUCCAUUCCAACGUCACUCUAUUUGGUGCAAUACAAUUACAAAAGAGAAGGCAGGCUUGAAUGAAUCGCAGUGGAUAGUAAGUAGAGGGGUGAGUGAGUGAGGCAAUGAGACUCGUUGGUUCUUUUUGGUCUCGUCAGACUCGUUGGUUGAUAGCCAGCCAACCAAACCGUGCAUCCCCAGUUUCCCAGUUCUUGUGGAAUUCUCAGUGAGGUAAUGUUCCUUUGCAGAUUCUUAUUUAUCAUUCUACUGAAUGUGCGAUAAUCAGGGCUGUGGCAUGGGAGGAUUCUCAACUAUCAUACCCAAUGGGGAUAUCACCACUAAUUGCACUGGUUGAACUUCUCGGAAGAGAUUUUUGGAAAUAUACACAUGCUUGUAAUAAUAAUGGAGCACGAGAAGCAGCUUAGCAUACUUUAUCAAAAACAAGGUCGUGCGACCCAGUUUCCAAGCAAAGCUGCUCGUGACAAAUGGCUUCAAAAGGAAAUUGAUGUUCUUGAACGAGUUCUUUCUUCAAAUUUGGCACAGGCAUGGGAGUUGAUGAUUCUGAAACUGACGCUAUAAUAAAUUGUGAGAUCAAACUAGAAUUCUGAUGUUCAUAUACCUGUUGGAUCAUUUCAUGCCUUGUUAAGAGAUUUGUAUUAGUUUUCUGUUAGCUUGUUUUAAAAUGAACUUUUAGUCAACCACGUGGCAUUGGGUGAAACAAAUGCUUAUCUAACUUCCCAUCAUUCAUACAUACAUAAAGGAGAGGCAUCAAGGCAUAGGGGAGUGACAUCGAAAGUAAAGGCUGUUGAUGAUGCAACUUCUGCUGGCAUCUUCAUUGUCAUCACAAAGUGUGUUCUUCAAGACUUGGUUGGUUUCAACAUUUUACUAAAUUUUGUUAGAAAACUAGUUCUGUUGAUGUAAUGACUUUGUUGGAUAUAUGGAUGAAUGUAUUGGAUUUUAACAUAAAUGAAUGUGUUUUGGAUGUGAUGCCAUUUUGAAUGUC